CACAUCGGAUCUGUGGUACCUUACUGUCCAGACACAGGAGCCUGAGAAUGAAUCAGAAGAUUCUACUCCUUCCACUUGGGCUGGCUGGAUAGGCCUUCACAGCUUACCCAGAACUUUAUCUUCAGUGGUGUAUUUGCGUCAUGACCAAGGUGCUCGGGCCCUGUGGUAUUUCCUCUGACAGUGAGGAAUGUGGUGCCAGAAUGUGAUUCCCUCUUGGCUACCACAAUACCUGCUGCCUGGUGCUACCCUAAAAACAAGACACACAGCAAAUGUCUGUUAUCUACACGAGCGGCUCAUUGAGGUCGUUGGCCAUUUUUAAGUAAUCCUUGCAAUCCAGAAUGUACUAUUAUGGGUCAGCACAUAGUAAUGAGCAUUUCAAGGAAAAACUUAUGGAAGGACCACAAAGGACGAAUGAAUGUGACUCAGUGACUAUGAUCUGGUCUCCUAGUGAGUUAAUGGUGGUCCCCAACUUACAGCCUGGCACCAGUUCAAUCAUUUCACACUGGAUCGUGUGUGUUGUGUUGACCACAUUUGAACAUCAGAGUGCACUUUGCUGAAUGCGGGUAGGAAGUCUUCAGAAUAGUCUCACUAUUCAUCUGGCUGUCACAACACGUAAGCUCCUGGAAAAGAUCCUGAUGAAUCAAAGCUGGAUUGUUUUAGGAAUCCAGUUUCAGACCUUCCCCGAACCAAGAUAUAUUCCCCAUCAACCUUGAAGAAGCAAGUAGCCAUCAGUUCCACAGCUGCAGAGAGAUGGAUUUUACCAACAACCAUUAAACUUGGAAAAGGACCUUGGACCUCAGACAAGACUGUAGUCCUGACUGACCCUGCCUGCAAUCUUGGGAGAUCCUGAGCAGAAGACCCAGCUAAGUAAGUUGUGUCUAGACUUCUGAUCUAUAGCAAUUAUGAAAUGAUAAAUGGGUGUUGUUUUAUACCAGUAAGUUUGUGGUAAUUUGUUACCCCCCCCCCAAGAGACAGCUAAUAUACCUCUACUUUUGGUCUCUUGGAUACUUGCUUUUGGAACCUAGCUGCUGUGAUGUGAGAAGCCCAGGUCAUAUAGAAAGCCCUACAAUG